AUCGGAGCGCAGUGAAGAGUUGCCCUGUAUGUGGUAUGCACCAUGUUAAAAAGUAUUAGUUUUUAGGUUCUGUGGGCUUAGGUGAAGCGGUCCACUCUCCGCUCUCAAAGCCUGACUGCUAGCCGAGAUGUACUUGAUCCAGUGCUGAAGGUCCUCUGGAACUCCAGGAUCUUCUCAGGAGUGCUACGAAUCACGUUUUGCCUGCAAAGCAUCACCGCGGAGACGAAGCCGUCCGACUUAGACACAAACC